rnacentral:lncRNA from 1 species
ACAUGGACAGGUGAGAUACAGGUGAGAGACAGGUGAGACAUGGACAGGUGAGACAUGGACAGGUGAGACAGGUGAGACAUGGACAGGUGAGACAGGUGAGACAUGGACAGGUGAGACAGGUGAGACAGGUGAGACAGGUGAGACAUGGACAGGUGAGACAGGUGAGACAUGGACAGGUGAGACAGGUGAGACAGGUGAGAGACAGGUGAGACAUGGACAGGUGAGACAGGUGAGAUACAGACAGGUGUCAUCACUGCCGGGAUCAGCUCGUGGAGCUGACAGGUGAGAGACAGGUGAGAGACAGGUG